rnacentral:rRNA from 1 species
UGCCAGCCGCCGCGGUAACACGGGGGGCGCAAGCGUUAUUCGGAAUUACUGGGCGUAAAGCGCUCGUAGGCGGUUUGUUAAGUCGGAUGUGAAAGCCCCGGGCUCAACCUGGGAACUGCAUUCGAUACUGGCAAACUAGAGUAUAGAAGAGGCAAGUGGAAUUCCGGGUGUAGCGGUGAAAUGCGUAGAUAUCCGGAGGAACAUCAGUGGCGAAGGCGGCUCCCUGGCCAAAGACUGACGCUCAUGUGCGAAAGUGUGGGUAGCGAACAGGAUUAGAUA